rnacentral:rRNA from 1 species
ACGAACGCUGGCGGCGUGCCUAAUACAUGCAAGUCGAGCGGACGAAUCGAAAGCUUGCUUUUGAUUCGUUAGCGGCGGACGGGUGAGUAACACGUGGGCAACCUGCCCUGUAGACGGGGAUAACACCGAGAAAUCGGUGCUAAUACCGGAUAACACGAAAUGUCGCAUGACGUUUCGUUGAAAGACGGCGCAAGCUGUCGCUACAGGAUGGGCCCGCGGCGCAUUAGCUAGUUGGUGAGGUAACGGCUCACCAAGGCGACGAUGCGUAGCCGACCUGAGAAGGUGAUCGGCCACACUGGGACUGAGACACGGCCCAGACUCCUACGGGAGGCAGCAGUAGGGAAUCUUCCGCAAUGGACGAAAGUCUGACGGAGCAACGCCGCGUGAGCGAAGAAGGCCUUCGGGUCGUAAAGCUCUGUUGUUAGGGAAGAACAAGUAACGCAGUAACUGGCGUUACCGUGACGGUACCUAACGAGAAAGCCACGGCUAACUACGUG